GACGAACGCUGGCGGCGUGCUUAACACAUGCAAGUCGAACGAAGUGGCGAACGGGUGAGUAAUACGUGGGUAACCUGCCCUCCUUUUUGGGAUACGCCUUGGAAACGGGGUCUAAUACCCAUUAUAGGGGGAUGGGAUCGCGGGGUAUCAGCUUGUUGGUGGGGUGAUGGCCUACCAAGGCGGUGACGGUUAGCCGGCCUGCGAGGGUGACCGGCCACAUUGGGACUGAGAUACGGCCCAGACUCCUACGGGAGGAAGCAGUGGGGAAUAUUGCACAAUGGACGAAAGCCUGAUGCAGCGACGCCGCGUGGGGGAAGAAGGCCUUCGGGUUGUAAAGGACUUUUGUUAGGGAGGCGGUACCUAAAGAAUAAGCACCGGCUAACUACGUGCCAGCAGCCGCGGUAAUAC
rnacentral:rRNA from 1 species